GUCUGCAGCUACCACAGUGGGAAUGCCCAACCUGCUGGUCUUAACACAUUUCACAGUGACUACACACAUCAAACAGCUACAGUCACAUCGUGCAAGUCCAGCAUUCCCCAGAACUGCAAGUUGACUGUACCUGCAGUGUACAACAAAUACACACACAUGCAUAGAAUCUGCCAAGUACGGUGGAAGUGAGAUCUACUGCUCAGGCUCACAGCAGCUGUGCUGGCAUGGUAAGUGUGAGGCUUUCCGAAAGCAUCAGACUUCACCUGUACACACACCGUGGAUGUGACCAAGGUUUCCGGAUACACAACAGCCCAGACAGAUUUAUUAGUGGUCACUGAACAUCUGGAAAUCCUGGACAAAAACAGGAAACGCUCAAGACUGCCGGGUUAACACUCCUGUCCUAAAAGCAAGACCUUCCUAACCCGAGCAACUGUCUUUAUGCGCACCAAAAAGGACAUUUCCUGAAAGACAAUGAAUCCUCCCUCCACACAGUCAUCUACCGAACAUCAGAGUAAGAGCCUGCAGGCCAUCUUCUCAGGGGGGAAACAAGGCAGAUGCAGAGCAUCUAAACUGCAAAAUUCAGUGCUUUGAGAAGCUUUUCCAGUUCUGUUUUUUCAACAGAAAAGUCAACUAAAGGGAAAAGGAAAAUAAAAAUUUGGCUAAAGUAAAAAUCUACUCUGAGUGAAAAGGAAAUUUUCCCUUCUUCUCUUGCACUCUUGCUGCCCAAGGAAUAACUUCACACACCACUAAAAGCCUUCUGUCUCAGGUAAAAUGCUAGGGGUGUAUAAGAAAUAUGCAGCAAUACCUUACCAAUAUUCUGCUAAAAGUAGUGGUGACGAAACAACCAUCACAACGUGGUCAGUGGUGAAAACGGGAGCUGUUGAAGGGCCAGAUGCUGUGCUGCCAUGUGCAAUGGUGUUGUGCCAAGGACCACGGCAGAGAGGCGAAGGAGGAGGAUUCGCUAUGGGAGGGAUGCUUGGGCAGCCUGUGGUCACCGAGGUGAAGUCUGCUCCUCUCAACAAGUCUCCCCAGGACCCACCUCCUUAUUCCUCACUCCUGGCAAUGUUAGAUGGCAACAAAAGGGACAAUCAAGCCACUUUCAAAGGACAACACUCCACAAAUACGUCUACACAUGGAUGUAUUCACUGCUGUGCACAAUGUCAGUGCCUACAGGUCGGAACACAUGUGGCCUCCAGAUACAGUUCAAGCCCUUGGGUGCCUGAAGCAGGGAGGAAAAACCCUUUUUGAGGUGGGCUCUCAUCUUCUUCUCAUUUGGUUGCCUUCUUUGUACUGUGCUGGAAGUUUUCUUUGCUUUAUCUGUAGUUAAUCCUGCUCACCAAGUUGCACAGAAUGUGAAAUUAUAAAUGUGACAGGCAUUUCUUGUUAUGACAUCUUUUGGAAAAGAAACACAACUUCUAGCCUUCUGCCAGAAAGAUUAUGUUCUUUUUCACUUAAGAAGAAUGCAUUUUUCAUAAGCAAGUAUUUUACAUUGCAAACUCUGGGCUCUUAUUCCAGACAAAUAGACAACUUUUUAAAAAGUUUCCUCCAGGAUCUCAGCUGGCUUUUAAGUCCAUGACUGUUAACCUAGAAACAAAGUACUUAGAGAACUGCAUACAAAGGCACAUUCACCAGGUCUGGGGCUGUUCUCACACUGAAAUAACCCUCUAGUAUGUUAAAAAAAUUACAAAUUCAUUCAUAGAAAUGAACUCGUUUGAGUAUAACACACAAUUAUAGAGAGCCCGUACUCAGUCUCAGAAGGCUGUGAUUGCUGUGGCUGUGUCAAGCAGGAAAGCCCUUUUCUCCUUUGCAAAUAUUCCUGGGAUUUCAGAAAUGCCUUCCAUUUCCAUAUGAAGAAAAAGCGAGUUAUUUUGCAGUUUUCUUUAAAUCAAAGAGCAGAGAAGCAGUCAGACAGCCCACAGGGCUGUGGUGAGGACUCUCACCCAGGAUGAAAGGGACUGAAGAUCAGAUUAGCUGUGCUUGCUUUGAUUUGCGAAGGGGACUGGGGCUGGGCUCUCAGGGGCAUGCAGCACUCAUUAGGCUGCUGACUUUUUCAGCCUUUUCAGUUGGAGAUUUUCAGUUUUAUACAGACAAUUAACUGUUCACCAUAUCAGGGACUUGAACCUAAUUAAUCUCCAUGGGAGGCUGAUGCCAAAACUAUCUGCUUUAGGCACUCAGACUGGUUAGGCACGACAAGUACAAGGUAGAUGGGGAAGGUAUUGCAGGGUGAUUCAGCUCACCCAAAAUCGGUGUCUAGACUCCUGGCAGUGCUCCUGGGCAGACCUGCUGUUUCUGAGGCUGCCUGGAGUGCUCAUAUCAGGAGCUACCUCUGCUUGCCCACCAUAGGCAACUCUGAAGGGUGACUACAUGAAGGGGGACCCACCAAGAACCAGCUAUCAGGAGCAGGCACAGUCUGUGUCACAUGUCCCACAGGUGCAAGCACAGGUCCCUGAUCCACCACGGGUUCAGAAAACCAAGCUUGCUUUGGUGGCAACUGCCUUUCCUUCUGCACAGUGGCCUAGGAGCAGGUACACACAUCAGCCCUUAGAGGGACAUGAUCCAGUCUUGAGGCUAGAAAUUGGGCUAAAAUAGAGGUGCCUUCCAUUCUUUAUAAAGAAGCAAUGUCAUUGCUGUAGAAAAACACAUGGGAGUGGAUGACCCCAGUUGGGUUCAAGGUAGUCACCUGAGAAAUAAAACCCUGUGGCUCUCUCCCUACACCCAGCACUGUCCUCCUCACUCCUUUCUCACCUGCUCCUUGCAUAUCUAUAUCAUCCUCACUGGGUCAAAGGAAGACCUCCAGGUUUUUCCAGCUCCAAAAACUAUCCUUAUUUAAAAGAUUUCUUAAGGUCCCCCUUUGUUCUUCUCUGCUUAUUGUCUUCUCCACUAAACAAGAAAAAUGAGAGUGCAGGAGAAGAAAAGUAUGAAUGGCAAUCUCCUUCUUUGGUGACAACCAACAGUAGGACAAGGGAUAAUGGGUUCAAACUGGAACACAAGAGGUUCCACUUAAAUUUGAGAAGAAACUUCUUCUCAGUGAGGGUGACAGACACUGGAACAGGCUGCCCAGGGGGGAUGUGGAGUCUCCUACUCUGGGGACAUUCAGAACCUGCCUGGACACAUUCCUGUGUAACCUCACCUAGGUGUUCCUGCUCCAGCAGGGCGAUUGGACUGGAUGAUCUUUCGAGGUCCCUUCCAAUCCCUAACAUUCUAUGAUUCUGUGAUUCUUAGAAGAACUUUAGCUUAGGUUGUUACUCUGGGGAGGAGAGAAAUGCACAAAAAAGAAAUUCUGGAAGAAAAUAAUUUUUACAUUUAUUUUUUCACUUUCUUUGUCAAAGUCAAAAUCAUUUUCAAGUCAAGAUGUUCUCUUCUACUCACCCAACUCACUGUCACCAGUCCUGCUGUAGAGCUCAGCCCCCGUAGCACACAGAAUUUUGUGGCCCAGGCACCUCAAAAGGGGAACGCACAAUCAGGGGUUAAAGCAUUUCUCGUAUUUUCCUGUAGCUGCUCUAAACUCUCUCUAUUGGCAGGUCUGCUGCCAGGAUGGCGGGGGAUACACUUGCAAAUGAGUGCUCUUGAGGCAAUACCCUAACAAAGGAAAUUUAACAGUGCACGAUUUUAGAUUUCUGUCACUCAAAAAGUCAGCAUUUCUUGUUGAGUUUUCAGGGAAUAACUUUAGGAUGAGUCACAACAUACAGCAAGUAAGGGUGAGUUUGCCUGCACAGAUUUUUCAGAUCCUCCCUUGACUCCAUGGUGGCCCUGGCGGCUUAUUGUUAAACCAUUUCCAGUGUUUUAUUUAUCAUAUUCUCUUUUAAACUCAUUAUUUCCCAGUUAAAUUUGAUAAUCUGUUUAAAGCAAAAUUAAUUUAUACUUCAGAGAGCUCAGAGAAGACAGAUAGAAGGAAGAUGCCCUGGAUGUAGAAGGAAAGGAUGAGACUUUCUCCUCCUGGGGCCAACAGGACCUUUUCACGAGCACAAGUUCUGGCCACAGAGUUCAAAGAGCUGCUGGAAGGCACACUUCAAAAGUCUGCUCAAAAACCAGCACAAGAAGAAUGGCCAAGCCCGAGGACCAGAUUGUGAGCCCCGGGGGCAGACUCUGCUGUCACAGCCCAUCAGCCUCCGCUGGGACCCUGCAGAAGAUACAGUAGGACACUCCAGCAGAGAUUUCAACAGUAACUGGCACCCUAGGGCAUACAUUUGGUGGCAAUGGAAAAUGCACUGGCUGAGACAAAGAAGGUACAACCCACACUCAACCCACUGUCCUGGUGUGUCCCCUUAGGGCUGCUGAUGGUCCCAGGGGAGCAGAACUAUUCAGGUCCUGUGACCUGCACCAGGCUGUGGCUACACACAAUCCAUCACGGAUACAAGCUAAACCCAUGUUCUCAUUUUUGUUUGAUUAUUUGGUGCAGGUGAUGGAGGAAGCUGUAUUUGCUUUCUUGUAGUUGUUACCAUUCCACAGCUCCUGUUCUCCAGACAAGAAUUGCCCACGUACAUCAAAGCUCCCCCUUGCUCCACAGUGCAGAGCCACAGAAGCAGCAGCGCACAGAGGGAUUUUCCUGCUCUGCCCUUCUAUACUUCGCUUCACACACACUGUAGAAGAGGUCUGUAAAAGAUUUAAAGCUAAGAGGUUUAGAGUAAUGUUUUAGAACAAUUAUGUAUCUGAAGGGUAUCCUGCAGCAAAAAGUUCCCAUGCACAGCAGUACAAAGAGAAGCCAGCUCCCUUCUUCAAAUCACUGCAGAGUACUGGUGGCAGAAGUAGAAGUGACAGCAAAAAGACCUGUGAUUUGGAGCAAAGAACAAAGGCAUCAGACAUCAGUCUGUGUAAGCCCGAGCUCCCAGCAGACAGACAGUUCGACACAUAUCCACGGCAGCUAGCUAAAAUUUCCAGGUGAAUUCCUAACUUUUUCCCCUCCAUAUUCUGUAACUUUUUAGACUUCCCCUUCCAAGCCAACUGGUUUACCCUACUGCAUGUCCCACCCCAGUUCUCCCCAAUCUGACCCAGAGCUGCAUUCAUAUAAAGAAUACCACUUUAUUCAGCCAGUUCUGUACCGCUCCUCCUUGUAACCACAGGUCUCCAAAGUCCUUAGCCAUUUGAAAAGCAGUUAAGAUGAUCAAUAUCCAACUUGAACAACCUAAACCUCAAUUAAGGACACUGAGCUUAUCUCCAGUUUCACUGCAAAUUGAUUCCCCUGAUAACUGGCCAAAGAGCUGAAUGGAGAAUUCAGAUUACCAACACAGUUCAAAUUAUGACAAAAAGAGAAAUACAGGGUUUUUUGCAACAACAAAAAGUUCACAGUGAACAGACCCUAGUCUCCUUUUUCAGAUCCAAAUAUUUUGAUCAACUUUCCAGUCUCUCCUCCAGCCUCUAUUCCAGUUCAGCUAAACAUUUCAUGAAGCAAAACAUUUUUUUGAUGCACUAGAAAUUUGUCCAGCACCCAUUGCUAAAGCCAGUUGGAACACAAUUUGGAAAAGGAGAACAUAAAUCAAACUGUAAAUUUGUGAUUUCCAAGAAAACCACACAGGAACCAGUAACAGCUACUGGUUUAGCUCCUGAACAGCAAAGUCUGAGGCCUUUUUCUCUUGAGAACUAUACUGGAAAAUCUGCUGAUACUCUUGCCUUCGAAGUGGAUCCUGAGCUAGAUAAUAUUUAUUUUAGUUGGAAAAGUAAUUAUUUUAUAGCAGCUUCUCAGAUGGAAAAAAAAUAUCUUAAAACUGAGCAGAACCACUUAGGUAACACACUGAUCAAGAUAAGAAAUAAUUAAUUAUACAACUCUUCUGAAAUAUUAUACAAACAGAGAAAAUCUGUCUAUCUGAAAAUCCAGAAGUAUGUGUCUUGGAACAAACCCAGAUGUACCAAAUGUCUAUUUUUAAACCCGGUGACUCAUGAAAAGAGAGCUGCAGUGAUUAGUUGCAGCAGCUUAAAGUGUUAAAUAAACAUAAACUAGGGCUGGAUCUGUGCAAACUGACCUCCAGAGCUGAGAAGUGACCCUCAGGCUUCAGAAGGACUUUGUACAUAGAAGGAGGAGAUCUGCUUUGGAAGAGCAGAGCCCAAGGAGUGCUCCAUGAUGUCAUUUCCAGAGAACUCUAAGGUGGCUUUGCCUAAGUUCUCAAAAAGUGCCUUGGUGUCUUGCUGUGUGUAACCUGCUAAUGUGAAAAUUUGGCCAGUAACAUCUGGAGGGGAUCAGUCCCACAGAAGAUAACGACCUGUGGCUGUGUGGGAACAAGCUGGAGUGAUGAUGAAGAAGAGGCACACAAGCCCUACACACAGUGCCCUGGUUCCCAUUUUGGGUGGGUGGGUUUGCUUGCAAGAGACAUGAAACGCUCACUUUUUUUAAUAAGCCGUUUUGCCGUGGUUGUGUGGUCUGUGGUCAGGUCACACCUCAUUUACGGAGCUUCACAACCACUGCUGCACUCGGCUGCCUGGACAUCUGAAAUGCCCAUUGCCCCAUUCCCACUCUGUCCUCAUAUUUCUUCCCUUUGAUGCUCUGCUCCCUUCUAGAUAUCUGGGCACAUCUACACCCAAGGGUAUUACUGCCAAGCAUGCACCCAAAUUGUGAGACUGAUAAACUAAACCUUCUGUUUUCUCUUGGGUAAAGGUAAGUGUAAAUUCAAGCCCCAAACCAAAUGGCAACAAGUCUUCAUGGAUUUGAAUUGUAGACCAGACAUAAGAUUCAAGGAUCAGGACACGUCUAUUGCUAAAUGUUUUGCACGAGACAUGGAUUUUAUCGAAUCAGAAUCACACACAUGCAGAUGAAUUCAGUGAAACAAAUGGCAUCGCAAUUACUGCCUGCGCAUUACACAGUAAUUGCCAGACGAAGGAUGGCAACAAAGCAGAGCCUCACAUAAAAUUAGAUUAAAAACUUUAGCUCCUAGUGCAUCAUACGCACUGUUUCCAUGGAUCUGUAAUGACCCAGGGAAAGAAUUUGCGGUGGAAAGCAAAGAGGAUUUCUCUGAAUUUGCAGCAAGCAGUUCAUUGCUGUUAAGGCUGCAAACACUCGGUGUAGACAGCUGACAUCUGAGUGCACAUCACCCCUGAACUCUGAUUUAUGUUUAAAGGCUUAAGAAGGAUUUAUCUACAGAGCUAGCUCAAUGAGCAUUAUGUGAAAGGGGGAUGAAUAAAGCAAGAAAGCCAUAAAUUUCCCUUUCAGUACAAAAAGCUGGACACUGAGUAGCCACGCAGCAGCCCAGAAUUGCGUAGAGCACAUCACACAUCAGGAUGAGUAUUGUGAUCCAUGUUAAAAAGGUUUUCUAAAUUCCUCAUUAGCAUUCCUUUAUAAUGGUUGGGUGUGUGGAGGAGGGAAGGUGUUUAUGUAUCAUAAAAGAAUAUCCAUUUUUAAGUCAUCAAGUGUUUUAAGUCCCUUCCUCACUCAAGCACCUGACAAGCAGAGAAAGAAGUUAGGACCUGGGGAGAGAGAUGCUGAUGCUCCUGCUCUCCCCUCAAGCAGACUCACUGCACACACUACCUGGAGCUGAUUCUGCUUUCUCCUGGCAUAAAAGGGAUCAAACUUCACAUACAGGUUUAAAUGUCCAAUGUGGCUACUGGCAACAGGAAGGUGCUGAAAGAGUUCAAGUGUUUUUUGGUUUUACUUUGGUUUUGUUUCAGGCUUUCUGUGGGUUUGGGGGUUCUUUGUUUGUUUGUUUGUUUGUUUUAACUCUGAAGAAUAUAAACAAACCGGCAGAAAUAACUGGAUAAAAAUCUAGGCUACAUAAUGCUGCUGCAAUUAUAUUUCCUAUUUAGGUUUCAUCUCCUAAUGAUAAGUUUGUACUAAGUCACUCUUGCCCCAGACUGUUUCCCCUGUGUUUCAGUAGUAUAUUAAAAAGGCAUUCUGAAAACAAA